rnacentral:rRNA from 1 species
AGUGAACGCUGGCGGUAGGCCUAACACAUGCAAGUCGAACGGCAGCACAGUAAGAGCUUGCUCUUACGGGUGGCGAGUGGCGGACGGGUGAGGAAUACAUCGGAAUCUACUUUUUCGUGGGGGAUAACGUAGGGAAACUUACGCUAAUACCGCAUACGACCUACGGGUGAAAGCAGGGGAUCUUCGGACCUUGCGCGAUUGAAUGAGCCGAUGUCGGAUUAGCCAGUUGGCGGGGUAAAGGCCCACCAAGGCGACGAUCCGUAGCUGGUCUGAGAGGAUGAUCAGCCACACUGGAACUGAGACACGGUCCAGACUCCUACGGGAGGCAGCAGUGGGGAAUAUUGGACAAUGGGCGCAAGCCUGAUCCAGCCAUACCGCGUGGGUGAAGAAGGCCUUCGGGUUGUAAAGCCCUUUUGUUGGGAAAGAAAAGCAGCAGGCUAAUACCCCGCUGUUCUGACGGUACCCAAAGAAUAAGCACCGGCUAACUUCGUG